AACACUACACGUAUUGACAAAAGCUCGUUGAAUUUUUCGGGGAACCUAUUGGCAGUGUUGCGUUCUAUUGCCCUCGGCCUAUUGACCCCCUUUGAGCGCACUACGUAUUUCUCGAGAUGAGAUUAAACAGGCGACCAUUCGCUGGUAAAUAAAACGUCGUCUGAUUCGAUUUUAAUGCGUCGUUAAGAAUGCUAUCACAUUUUACGUUGUAUUGGGUACUCACCGAAACCGUAUUCCACGGAUACCACAACCGCCG